GGCGAAGGACCGGCCGGGCCGGGCAAGUUGGAGCCGGAUUCCCGGGGCCCUGGGGGCUCCCCCUGCCCACCAACCAACAGGCCAAGGGCGACGGGGAGGGGAGAGGACGAGUAGGCCUCAAGCGGGCUGAGCAGCAGGAGGAAGAGGAGGAGGCCUCAAUCAUCAGCGCGAUGGAGUCAGCAGGUGGCAAGGCCCAGCCCCCGAGCCGGACCCCCGAUUAGCUGUUUACAGGCGGAAACAACGGGAUGGGAUAAGACCCCAGUAAAGGAACAAUGGGUCAUGUGGUUUGUGAUCCAUACAGGAGAUCAUCCUUCUGGUUAUCAACACAAGGGGAUGAAGUUUCAGCAGCCGAAGCGACAGUUGAAACAAAGGCCAGCCCAAACCUGUGUUCUUCCAGGAGGCUCAGUGGGUGCUUAGUAAUGCCGUCGCAAGUCGGGCUCUCAAACACUCUCUGCCCUGGUGUCAAACCCUCAACUAGUCUUAUUGUCUAGUAUGUCCGGAUUUUUGAAAAUCCGCCACUCACCAGCUGUGUGACUUUGGGCAAGUCACUUCUCUGGGCCUCAGUUA